AUUACUUCAGAAGUGAUAGAAAAGUGCACAACUCCUCUGUCUGAUGACCAUGAUGAGAAAUAUGGAGUCCCUUCACUGGAAGAGCUAGGUUUUGAUACAGAUGGCUUAUCCUCUGCAGUGUGGCCAGGUGGAGAAACUGAAGCACUUACUCGUUUGGAAAGGCAUUUGGAAAGAAAAGCUUGGGUGGCAAAUUUUGAAAGACCUCGAAUGAAUGCGAAUUCUCUGCUUGCAAGCCCUACUGGACUUAGUCCUUAUCUCCGAUUUGGUUGUUUGUCAUGUCGACUGUUUUACUUCAAACUAACAGAUCUCUACAAAAAGGUAUUCUCUAAAAUUAGAGCUUAUUGUUUAAUACUUUAAAAAAAAAUUCUGAUAAUACUUCUUUGCUUUUUAACCAUAGGUAAAGAAGAACAGUUCCCCUCCCCUUUCCCUUUAUGGGCAACUGUUAUGGCGUGAAUUUUUCUAUACAGCAGC
rnacentral:lncRNA from 1 species